UUUACUUUUCUAUCUUCUAAACAAAAUUUUCGUUGGAAAAAAUUUGUAUAGAAAACACUAUUUGAAAUCUGCCAAAAACUGGACAAAUAACAAAAAACUGUGCUCUGUAAAAAAAAUAACACAGAAAACUGUGUUGGCCUUGCGCCGCUCUGGGCGGUCGACAGCGGCCCAUUCCGUCGCGCCCGCGGCCCACAGCCCACUGGGCGAGCGCUGCUCUGCAGCCCGCUCGUCGCGGCCCACAGCCUGCUAGGCGAGCACCGUUCGGCCGCCCGAGCGCCUCAGCCGCACAGCCGGCCUCGGUCCAGCGCGGCUCGGCCGCCCAGGCCUCCACUUUCGGCCCAGAAGGCCCGGGGCGGGGUUAGGUUUUCAAUCAGGAACGUCCGUCGCGAUCCGACGGCUGCGCGCGCAUCUCACAUGAACGAAACCCCCCAGGGCCGCGCCGCUCGCAACCCUAGCGCCAUUCAGCCCCCAUCGCGCCUCUCUCUCGCCUGCUCCUCUCUCGCCCGCCCGCUCGGUUCAGGCUUAUCGAGCCACGCCGGCGCAGCGAGCCAGGGCGGAGCGGCGAGCCAGGGAGGCAGCUCGACCAGCCAGCCCCUUCCCCUUCUCCUCCUCUCUCUGUUCCCGAGAGAGAGACAGAGAGACGCACCGGGGUUCCCCCUUUCCUUUCAGUGUGAGAGAGUGGAAGAGGAGCGCGGCAACUCUGCGCCGUGGCCAUCCUCCUCGCCGGUCGCGCGUCCUCCCUGGCGAUUGGUUUGCGCCCGCCGCCUUUCGUCAUCCACGACUCGCCUCUACUCCAUCGCCGACGACUCGCCUUCGCCCGGCUGCAACGCGUGCGCUGAUGCGGUGGCCAGUCGCAUCCUACACUAGCCCUUCAUCGUGCGCGUGUGGAUACCACGUGGCGUGGACACCGCUAGCUUCUGCCCACCAGGCCACCUGGAUCCACACCGCUGCGAAGCAUGCAUCCUGUGCAGGUCUUGAUUGCAAGUGUUCUUUUUUUUUAGGGGAUGCUUGCACGUGUUCAUCACGUACGGAUGUACUUGUCUGCAUGGCAUGCGUUUCUGUACGGCUGAGUGGUGUUGGCUCGUCCGGCUACGCGAACAUACGCAGCUCCUGUCUCAUGGCCGUGGGAUCCUCCUGCCACGUCUAGCUGUGCGGACACACGUCGCGGGUGUUUCAUCGUCGGCUCGCGUCUUUUUCAUCUCGCUCGCUGCGUCUUUGGUCUGAUCAGUCUGUGUGCAGUUUCACGGUCUUCCAUGAAAACCGUCUUAGUACAACGCGCCUGAUUGAGCAACGGGCUACAGCUGUCUAGUUCUUUCGGACCGCAGCAUCGUCGUUUCACGAAUUUUCCCCGCAGCUGCAUCCGCUGCGUCAUCCUUUGGGCCAUAGUGCCGAGGCCCAUGGUCCACCACCGUUCUAAGGCCGUCUGUUGUAAGAUGUCUCCAUAGCUGCACCGACCCUCGCGUUUUCGCUGUGUCGCCCCGUCGGGUUGUAGUGAGCGUGGCACACAGUCCCUGACGCCUCCUCAUGGUUCUCCCGACGGUUGCACCGCCGCUGCGUCGUCCCUUCAGGCCAUAGCGCCAUGGCAUGCGGUCAACGCCACCGCCCUGAGGUCUUCCCGCCUUCGCCCCAACCUCGUAUUGCCGCUGUGUCGUACUUUCGGGCCGUACCGCCGCAACGCGUGGUCCACUCCGCCGUCCCCAUGCGUCGACUUCUGUGUGACAUACGCCGCGCCACCUUCCUAGGCACCGGAACGCCAUCGUCCGCGCCGGUCUUCGUCACGCUGUCGGGUUCUUCCUCGCCUAUUUCGAGCACCACCGCUCUUCUUCCUGAUCCACGGCGAGUACCUUUAUCCACCAUAAUUUUCAAGCAACGAUUUCGGCGUCGGUCUUUCUUGCAGAAUCUAUGGGAACGAUUUUCCGCGCCAUUCUUUCUCUGAAAUGCAGUAUUUGUGGUUGUGAAGCUUGAUGUGGGAACGAAAGUAAAACAUGCCCGAUGUGAGCACUGAGGAGAUCCAGCGAGCCAGAGAUGGACAACCCCGAAAAAUGGCUGGGUGAAAAUGAAUGUUGAUGGAUCCUUCAUCGUGUAGACGGGAAUCGAUCAACAGCUCUGGGGCGGUUGCACGCGACACUCAAGGACAUGUAAUCAUCUCUGCAGGUUCCCUUGUCCUAGGAUGCUCGAGUGCCGAGGAAGCGGAAGCAAGUGCAAGAUGGAGUGGGCUCCAAAUCCUGCUUUUCAGUACGGUGAUUAUCGAGUCAAACUGCGCAGCUGUACUAGAUGACUUUAGCUCUGCGCACGUUAACAAGUCUAGAUGGUGGUCGUUGUUUUCAGAGCCGUGCACUCUUAUUAAGCAACAAUUUGUUGAAUGUGUCUUGCAGAAGAUCUGCCGCGACAGAAACACA